rnacentral:tRNA from 1 species
GGGGGUAGAGCUCAGUGGGAGAGCACAUGCUUAGCACACACACGAGGUCCUGGGUUCAAUCCCCAGUACUGCCA